rnacentral:rRNA from 1 species
UACAGAGGUGGCAAGCGUUGUUCGGAAUUACUGGGCGUAAAGGGCGCGUAGGCGGUCUUGUAAGUCUUGUGUGAAAUCCCUCGGCUUAACUGAGGAACUGCACGAGAUACUGCGAGACUUGAGAUCGGGAGAGGGAAGCGGAAUUCCGGGUGUAGCGGUGAAAUGCGUAGAUAUCCGGAGGAACACCGGUGGCGAAGGCGGCUUCCUGGACCGAUACUGACGCUGAGGCGCGAAAGCUAGGGGAGCAAACGGG